GCCACGUAUUAGUCAUCAAGUCAGACAAACCCAUGUAUCACCCCACGUAACAUGAACUUAAUGCUAAUUAAAUUAUAACUAUAAUGCUAAUUAAAGUAAAACUAUCACCAUUUAUUAUUAAUCCACCCUUUCCUAUCCCCUCAUCAAUUACAACUCUACGCAUAAGCAUGUUUUAAUGAUGAAAAUUGAGAGGUUUGAGUUUUUGGAUAUAAAUGUAAUCUUUUCUACAGUCCGAAAUGUGAGAUCCAAAAAUUUCUUAUAAAUUAACAUUACAUUUCAUUUGAUAAUAGGUUAUGUUUUCCUUCCUAUUUUUAGGUUCUUUUCUCCUUUCUUAUAAAAGUUUAAUUAUUUAUUGUUUUAAUUAAGGAAGGAAAUGAAUAGUUGUAACGGAUAAUGAAGGGUCACCAAUCACCAUCUAUAGGGAUCCAAUAUUGACGGUUAAUUUCAUCUAAAUGUUCCUGUCUUUAGGACUCUUAAGCCCAUUUGCUUGCGGCCAUGAACACUUUGUUGAAUUUAUCAAUCUUUUCAACCAUUGCGUCUCCAACAGUAUAAAGGAUCAAGUCACUGUAGUAACGUUGCGAGGCACAAAUACAAGGUUGUAUGAAUCUUUAUUCUAGAUGGUUGACGUAAAUACUUUUCGCAGUUCCCAUAAUCUUUUUACAUACUCUUUGUGGAUUUAUAUAUAAGGGGAUCAAGACUGUUGAAGUGUGAAUAUAGCAGUUGCAUAUUAACAUCUUAUCUAAUUCAUCUCGAUGAAAUAACUCUCUUGCUGUCUCGUAUAAAGGUUCUUAUGCAAAUUUUGUCUUGAAUCGAACGACUUUUGCAAUGCUUUAUAACCUAAGAGAUAAGACAUAAUGGCACGAAAUUGGACAACCAUACUCUUAAACAAUACAAGGCAAUCAAAAGAGAACAUAUAGAGAAGAAGCUUAAAGAUAUGUCCGAUGUACAUUCUUCGUAAAAUGAUCGGAAUGCUCUUAGUGGUGAAAAGAAGUGAGUUAUAUGUCGAAGUUAAAUAAUGCUUCAUGAAAUUAUAGGUUCAUAAUAUAAAUCUAGAGUUCCCCAAGUGACUUUCUUCUUUAAUUUUUAGGGCAUUGAAUCUUAAAUUUCUGUUAAUGA